rnacentral:rRNA from 1 species
AUUGAACGCUGGCGGCAUGCUUUACACAUGCAAGUCGAACGGUAACAGGGGGCUUGCUCCGCUGACGAGUGGCGAACGGGUGAGUAAUGCGUCGGAACGUGCCGAGUAGUGGGGGAUAACGCAUCGAAAGGUGUGCUAAUACCGCAUACGAACUGAGGUUGAAAGUGGGGGACCUUCGGGCCUCACGCUAUUCGAGCGGCCGACGUCUGAUUAGCUAGUUGGUGAGGUAAAGGCUCACCAAGGCGACGAUCAGUAGCGGGUCUGAGAGGAUGAUCAGCCACACUGGGACUGAGACACGGCCCAGACUCCUACGGGAGGCAGCAGUGGGGAAUUUUGGAUAAUGGGCGCAAGCCUGAGCCAGCCAUGCCGCGUGUCUGAAGAAGGCCUUCGGGUUGUAAAGGACUUUUGUCCGGGAGCAAAUGCUGGUGGCUAACAUCCACCGGAGCUGAGAGUACCGGAAGAAUAAGCACCGGCUAACUACGUGCCAGCAGCCGCGGUAAGAC